GCCGCCAUAUUGUGGGAGUAAAACCAACGCCUGGCUCCAAGCUGCAGCCGCUGAGGUGUCCCUGGCCAGUGUUGCUGCCACCCAUCCACAAACGCAGGGAACAUUUUUGUCAACCUCUUCAAGGGCCUUUUUGGCAAAAAAGAAAUGCGCAUCCUCAUGGUGGGGCUGGACGCUGCAGAGAAUACGGCAAUCCUGUACAAGCUGAAGCUGGGUGAGAUGGUGACCACCAUUCCCACCAUAGGCUUUACCAUGGAGACCGUGGAGUCAAGAAUGUCAGCUUCACUGUGUGGGACGUGGGCAGCCAGGACAAGAUCCGGCCUCUGUGGCGCCACUAUUUCCAGAACACACAAGGCCUGAUCUUCCUGGUGGACAGUAAGGACCGAGAGCGUGUGAAGGAGGCCCGUGAGGAGCUCAUGCGGAUGCUGGCUGAGGAUGAGCUCAGGGACGCAGUUCUGUUCACCAACAAGCAGGACCUGCCCAACGCCAUGAAUGCAGUCGAGAUCACAGACAAGCUGGGGCUGCACUCCCUUCGCCACAGGAACUGGUACAUUCAGGUCACCUGUGCCACCAGCGGGGAUGGGCUCUAUGAAGGACUAGACUGGCUGUCCAAUCAGCUCCGGAACCAGAAGUGAGCGUGACACCUCCCCU